GGGGAAAUAAAAAAAAUAAAGAGGCGCGCAUGAGUCUCUGCUGGAGGGGCGGAGCUUAGAGUUGGAGGAGCAGAGCCAUAAAAAAGCCGUGGCAUCUUCUCCUAGGUCAUUAAGCAGCGAGCCUGAGCAUAUGCUGCAGGACUGAUGGAUGACGAAGAUGAAGAUGAGCUUUUCAACAACCAAUACCAGUUAGUCAGAAAACAAAAAAAGGUAAAGCACACAGUGACACUUCUUCACAUUUAUAGUUUUGCUUUUGAUUAAAUACAUAGAUAAGAUGAGCCAAUCAAAAUUAUCCAGUCAUACUAUGGUUGGGCGAUAAAUUUAUUAAGUCAAUCGAAUUGGCUUUUUAUGGAGAUUUCAUUUUUAGAAAAAUUAAGAUAUAUUUUCACUAAUGUACUACUUUCACUUCGUAGUUUCCUGUGUCUGUCGUUUCCAUGGACAGAAUGAAAUGACCAUCAAUCCAUCAGGGAUUAUUUUUGUAAUGUCUCCUGAUGCGGGGAGAUGGUGGAAGGAGUCGUGUGUGUUAAUACACACCACAACAGAACAUUUUGACUUAUCCACUUGUAGCUUUGGCAUCAUUGAAUGUGAACUACAGAAAUAAAAAUAGAUUCACAAAACCGACUAGCUACAAGUCCAUAAAGUUGUUUAGAAGUUCCACAACAAAUACUGUGAUGGAAACUGUUAAAAAAAUGUAACAGGGAAAAGAGAAAACUGAACAGAUUGAAAAAAUAUGAUUGGAUAUAAAGAUAUAAACGAAUCACUUGGAGAGACUGAAUUCAGUUUUUCUGCACUGCUACAGACUCCAAGAGCACAACAAUAUGUAUUAAAGGGGUAAAAAAGCUGAUUUUGCAUAAUAUGUCCCAUUUAUUAAAAGAAAGGGAGAAAAAAAUCUAUUCAAAUAAGAAAUCAGAUUUAGUAUGGGGGGAAAAACAGAGAUUUUAUGUUUAAAACUUAAGUCAUACCUCAUUUAUCAAUGACAUUCAUUAGUGACAGGCAAGAUAUAAGCAGAAAGAUGUGAUUUUGAGCGUUCUUUAAACGCUUCAAAACUAACCAACAGCAUGUUCUGUUAAGAUUAUAAAAGAUCUGAUAAGGACAACUUGAAAACGGUAUCAGCCAGGAGAAACCUUCAUGAUGGAUCUCCAGAAUAUGUAGGCAGAAUUAAAAAUGUGAAUGUCUGUAUUCCGGCAUUUCUCAUAAAAGGUCAUCGCGCAGCAUGCUUCCACGCUCUGCGUGUCUCACAGGUAUCAUCAUCGAUUGUUCUCCAAAGGCGCCUGAAAGACGGAGAUAAGUCAGGUUAGCUGAGGGGCAGCGCCGCAAACGAGCUGAACUCUACCUGCUCACUAACCAACCGGGUUCUGCAGAGAGCCUAAUGACUCGCCACUCACGUCCAAUCCAACAACUAAACAGAUUCUCAAGGGACAUUAUUGUAGCUGUCUGAGGGGGAAAUGUGAUGAGGCAGUGUGGUUUCUACAGGUACAAAGGGGUGGGGUGGGGGGGGUGGGGGGGGGGUGCAGCAGGAGGCUGCAGAUUGCUUUUCGAGUGACAGUUUUUACUCAAAUCCUAAGGAGGAGACGGAGGAGGAGGACGAGGUAAUCUUGGCUGAAAGCGUCUUUCUGGAAUAGAGUUAUCAUCAAGAGGUGUAAUGAGGUGUUCACUACACUUCUGAGAAUGUGCUGUUGCUAGGAUACUACACACGCGCUCCAGGGGAUUUGCUUAAAUCAAAAGAGAGAGAAGAAAAAAUUAAAAAAAAGAAUGCUGUUUUCCCACCAUCAGUUGACUGUGUGUUUAUCCAUCAGAGCUCAGCGAGGGUGGCUCUGAUUCCUGCUGUAAUCACAGAGGGGAUCGCCACGGAGACGGUUCCGGGGCAAAACCUGCCGAUUGAGCCCAUCACAGGGCUGGUAAAGCUUUGUUGUGCUGGAGUCUCACAGUAGUUACAAAUGUGUUCAAAAAUUUGUCAAUAUUCCAGUAAUGCUGAAAAACCCCCACAAUUUCGCAAUUGCAUCGUUUCCAUUAAAUAAGAAACACAGUUGAAAA